UACAGAGGUCUCAAGCGUUGUUCGGAUUCAUUGGGCGUAAAGGGUGCGCAGGCGGCGCGGUAAGUCGGGUGUGAAAUCUUGGAGCUUAACUCCGAAACUGCAUUCGAUACUGCCGUGCUUGAGGACUGGAGAGGAGACUGGAAUUUACGGUGUAGCGGUGAAAUGCGCAGAUAUCGGGAAGAACACCCGUGGCGAAGGCGGCUCUCUGGGACGGUACUGACGCUGAGACGCGAAAGCGUGGGGAGCGAACAGG
rnacentral:rRNA from 1 species